GUUCCCUUGAUGUGCGAGCCAACCUUUUGGGGUUGUUUGUGAGAAUCUCGGCCAAUGUUCUGUUGAGCUGUUAAUGUCUGCAAUUUUUUUUUUUUUUUCUGUGUAUCAUUUAUUCAUCUUAAUGUUCGUUUUCAGCUCCCGGCCACUAUUGCAGCAUCUGAAGUACAGAGGAGACUUUUAUGUGGAGCUACAAAACAGCUGGUCACCUGGAUUUGUAGGGUUUGUGUUUUGGAAUCCAAGUUAAACAGAGUGUGGGAUUUUGUUUCUUGUGGAUGGCUACAGGAAAAGCCCUGAUUAAUUACCAUUUAACGUAACACAAGAUGAAAGACAAGGACUCCGUGUAGUAAGGGACUCUCGGAUUACCGUUUGAGUUACACAGACUGAAAAAAACUGUUUCGCCAACUGCGGAGCUGGAAGGACGUGGGCGUUACUGCGUUGGGCAUGAAGUUGUGAUUUCCAAAGCGGCUCAGGGGCAGGAACCAGUUUCGGGUUUUUCAACCCGAUUUCUCACGGAGGCUGUGGCUUCAGCAUCGGUACCUGCAGAAAUUUCACCGGUCCCUUCCAACCGUGCUCUCAUUUUAAAUCCUUUCCACUGAUUACGGACCAUGAGCCAGGAACCUGACAGAGGUAUUGUUUUGGCCGAUAGACUUUUGUUUCCAAGAAAUUUUCCUUCCGAAGCGCGGAAGGGGGGGAGGGUUCCCCCCACCUUCCAAAAGAGAGGAAGGUGUAGGAAAAACGUGGCUGCUGCCUUCAUCUUUUUGAGGAGCAACCCCUGACGUGCCCUUUGUGGGGAGGAGGAGACAGAAAUUGUUUAG